AAAUAAUUCAAUAAUACAAGAUAAAGAUAUAGCUUAUUCUUCUAUUAUCAGGAAACAUGCUACGAAUAAUGUAAUAAUCAAUUAUAUAUUAACAAAUUUAAAACAAAUAAUCUCAAGAAAAUACAAUAUGGAUGAUGCAUUAAAUGAUAUAAUUGACAAUGUGUAUUCUAAUGAACAACUUGACGAAAUAAGUAAAUUUGUAA